rnacentral:miRNA from 1 species
UACCUCAUCAACCGGAAGGAAUCCCUUCUGGUUGAUGAGGUUGUUAUACCUCAUCAACCAGAAGGAAUCCCUUCUGGUUGAUGAGGUU